UUGGCGUAAUAGACUAUUCGCUGAGGAAUCUAACUUCGGUUAGAGCCGGGUUUGAACUAGGAAGCUCCUAAUCUAGCUUAGUCUACUUUUAGAUUAGAUCUCAAAUCAGGUAGGAUUACCCGCUGAACUUAAGCAUAUCAAUAAGCGGAGGAAAAGAAACUAACAAGGAUUCCCCUAGUAGCGGCGAGCGAAGCGGGAAGAGCUCAAAUUUAUAAUCUGGCGCUUUCGGCGUCCGAGUUGUAAUCUCUAGAAGUGUUUUCCGCGUUGGACCGCACAUAAGUCUGUUGGAAUACAGCGGCACAGUGGUGAGACCCCCGUUCACGGUGCGGAUGCCCAAUGCUUUGUGAUACACUUUCGAAGAGUCGAGUUGUUUGGGAAUGCAGCUCAAAUUGGGUGGUAAAUUCCAUCUAAAGCUAAAUAUUGGCGAGAGACCGAUAGCGAACAAGUACCGUGAGGGAAAGAUGAAAAGCACUUUGGAAAGAGAGUUAACAGUACGUGAAAUUGUUGGAAGGGAAACGCUUGAAGUCAGACUUGCUAUUCGGGGCUUGCUCCGAGUUGCAGGCCAGCAUCAGUUUUUCGGGGCGGAAAAUCACGGAUUGAAGGUAGCAGUUUCGGCUGUGUUAUAGCUUUCCGUUGGAUACGUCCUGGGGGACUGAGGAACGCAGUGUGCUUUUAGCGAGGGCUUCGGCUCUUUCACACUUAGGAUGCUGGUGGAAUGGCUUUAAACGACCCGUCUUGAAACACGGACCAAGGAGUCUAACAUGCUUGCGAGUAUUUGGGUGUCAAACCCGG
rnacentral:rRNA from 1 species